rnacentral:rRNA from 1 species
AAUGAACGCUGGCGGCAGGCCUAACACAUGCAAGUCGAACGGAUCCUUCGGGAUUAGUGGCGGACGGGUGAGUAACGCAUGGGAACAUACCCUAUGGUACGGAAUAGCCUCGGGAAACUGGGAGUAAUACCGUAUGUGGUCGAGAGACGAAAGAUUUAUCGCCAAAGGAUUGGCCCGCGUUAGAUUAGGUAGUUGGUGGGGUAAUGGCCUACCAAGCCGACGAUCCAUAGCUGGUUUGAGAGGAUGAUCAGCCACACUGGGACUGAGACACGGCCCAGACUCCUACGGGAGGCAGCAGUGGGGAAUCUUAGACAAUGGGGGAAACCCUGAUCUAGCCAUGCCGCGUGAUCGAUGAAGGCCUUAGGGUUGUAAAGAUCUUUCAGGUGGGAAGAUAAUGACUGUACCACCAGAAGAAGCCCCGGCUAACUCCGUGCCAGCCGCCGCCGUAACAC